CAAAAUAGAUACGAAUUUCAAAUAAAAACUAAAAACAACCAUUUGCUUUUUCGACCUUUUAUCUUAAUUAACUAGUUCACAUGGGUAACGAGGACAACUUGGCGAAGGUCUUUAUCACUCCUCCCAGUGCACGUUCUAAUGUGCGCCCAGGCUUAAGAACACGAACCAAGCUGGUAUAUCGACGACAAUUGCUCCAGUGAAGGAGGUCACAAGCAUCGGGAGGAAGUAGAGUGGUGAAGAAGGUACAAUUCAAUUGAACAGUACGAAUUGUUUCACAGAGAGAAGAGUUAGGUCGAGGGAAUCGAGUGACACCAAAAAAUCCACCUAAAGUGCGAGCACAGAAAUAGAAGAAACAAAAUCAUCUUGAGUAGAUGAAAUAGAGAAAGAGGAAGAGAUGUUAGGGAAACCACCAGGUGCAGGAGUGGAUGAGAAAACUAAGUUACUAAUUGAAAGCUCGAUAUGAGAGAAGUUUGGUAUAGUAAAAAUUGUAAUCGCAACUUCAAUUAGAGUAUGUGAAUUAUGAACACAUUGGGGAUCAACUGGUAGGGAGAAUUGAGCUAAAGGAUAUCAGUUCAAAAGUGGAAUAGUGGUGAAAUGCGAUCGUGUGUUAUGUUAUAGGUGCUCACCUAUCAUUCACAAUAUUGAAUGGAUUUAUUCAGCGAAUUUUGGGGCGACAUGGCAUUAAUAAAAUUGCGAUGAUGAAAAAUGAAAUUAUGAUGGUACGUUUGAUAGUGAAAAGGGGAAAAUAGAUGUACUGCAUAGAGACAUUUACCAUUUUGACAAUAAGCCUCUUAUUGUCUAGGAAUAGAUGCUUGAAAUGGAGUUUUCGAAAGAGGAAUUGCUCACAGUCCCAAUUUCGAUUACACUUCCAGGUUUGGAUUUGAAAUACCGGACUGCUCGUGGUUUAAGUAACAUUGGAAGUUUAGUGGGAAAACAAUUAAUGGGGGAUAACCAUACAAAGAAAAAGCUUGAUCUGAGCUUUGCAUUGUUGUUGGUGAAGUACAGGUGGGAAAUAAGCUGCCGUAUGAGGUGUUGUCUCGAAAUGAGAAGGGAGCAGUGAUCAACUAAAAGGUAAACUCUGAUCGGAAGCCUUCAAUAUGUGAUCGAUCACUAAAAGAAAUAUGGUAAUCAGAGAGAGGAAUGUACAAAGCUGAAUCCAGGGGUGAGGAUUAAGAUGAUCAGAGGAGAAGUUGAAAAACCUCAUAGAGGAAGAGAAUUGUAGUGAAACUGGCAGAUUAAUAAAACAAAAGUUGUUGUGCAGGUAGAAAAGCUUAAUAGAGACAUAAUUCAUACUGCAAAUGCAUUUAAUACAUGAGAUUUAGGAAGUGAUGGAAAAAUGAAGGAGAUGAAAUAGUGGAGGGGAAUGGAAAGAUCAUAGGGCUUGAUCUUGUGGUUAACAUAUUGUGCUGGAAUACAAAGGGCCUAAAUGGUCCCUCAAAGCAGAAGAAAGCUCUCUUUCCUUGCAAUCAGCUUGGUGUUAAUUUCAUUGGUUUUUUUGGAGACAACUAAAAGUAAUACUAAUAUAUAAAAUAUAGCAAAUACAAUAUUUGAAGGGUGGAAACAUCAUAAUAACCAUAAUGCUCAUUAUAAUGAAAGAAUAAGGGUUAUAUGGAGGGAUGAUAUGCGUAGAGUUAGUGUGUGUAGUGAAAAUGCUCGAGCAGAAACACGCUUGGUGGAGCAGAUCUUCUUACAAUAAUCUUAUUAUGUUACUUUUGUGUAUGCUUAUAAUGGAAGGGAGGAGAUGAAAGAACUAUGGACGUAUCUUUAUCAUGUUAAAAGUGGUCUGAAUAGACCUUGGCUUGCGCUUGGAGAUUUCAACUCAGUAUUACACAGUGAUGACAGAGUAUGAGGAGCACCUGUUAUCCUGCUUGAAGUGGUUGUCUUUCAAAAAUGUGUGGAUACCCGUGAACUUGUAGAAAUGGAGAGAAACAAAAGUAUGUAAACAUGGAAUAAUAAUAGGAAGACUAGCAAAAUAUUCUCAAAGAUAGACUGGUCAUUUGUAAAUGGGGAAUAGAUGAAUGAGAUGCCAAAAUGGAGAACUCAUUUUCUUCAUGAGGGAGGGAGUGAUCACAGUCCAUUACAUGUUCAGUUGUUAGAAUAAUUACUAUGCAUAGGAGCGCUAAUAAAUACUGCAACAUGUGGAGCACACAGUCCCAGUCUAAGAAAAUAGUAAGAAGGGAGUGGCAGAAGGAAGUAUAUGGCUGCUUAAUGUAUCAAAUAACCUGGAAACUGAAGAAUCUUAAGAAAUCUUUGAGGGUGUAAAUUUAACAAACUAAGAAGGAAAUUACGGGCUACACAAAAUGUUUUACAACUUGAUCCUUUGAAUAAAGUAUUGCAGGAGAAGGAGAAAUUAGCUACAAGUGAGUAUGAAAGAGAAAGAUGCCUGACUAAAAUGUUAUUGGUUCAAAGAAGGAAAGUUACUUGGAUCAAGUAGGAAGAUGAUAAUACAAGAUAUUUCUAUUUAAUCUUGAAGCAAAAGUGGAUGGUAACUGAGCUAAAGGAUGAUCAAAUGCAGGAACAGACAGAUCAAACUAAGAUUGUAGUGAUUUUUAUGCAGUACUACACUAACCUUUUAGGGACAGCAGGAGAUUAGUGAUGAGCGGGAAAUCUAAUGGAAAUGAGUUGAGACAAAGCUGGAAUGAAAGAAAAGUGACCAGAGUUGGAACGAGCGUUGAAAAUACAGCUCAAAAUCAGGCCUCAGUUAUCGCUAUCGCGACGUGCAGUGUGCGAUCGCGAUCAGUCAACAAGUCAAAAGGAUGCGAUCCCAACCCAACUCCCUGCUAUCACGGGAAGUCCAUGCAGACCAGAGUAGUGUGAUUGCAAGCCAAAGUAUUGCGAUAGCAGAGUCGCGAUCACAACUAAAGGUCGCGAUCGCAGGCGUCGGGUAGAAUUACAAGGGCAAGGCUGGAAUUUCACAAGGCCCAGUCCUAAGAUAUAAAAGGCUAGCCCAAUCCCAAGAUAUAAAAGGCUAAACCCUUUACGUUUCUAGCAUCCAAUUUCUGAAUUUUCGGAGCUUAGAACAAUAUUGUAGAGUAAAAAUACAAUUUGUAAGGGUUUUCAAGAGAGAUUUUGGCUUUGAAUUGAAAUUGAAGUUCUGGAUUAUACUUAUUUUGCUUAUGAUAGAUGAAUUGAAUGCAAAUUUGGGUAUAUUUCCUUCCUC